AUUCUGCUCGUAGGAAUACAGUCAGGAGGCCGACUUUAAAACUCCGAUCCUCCGGGAAGGCCACGCGGAGUGUCUGCCUGGCGCAUAGCAUCAGUAAAUAGGUGUUGGAUGAAUAUGAAUGGAAGGAGAGAAGACAACCUAAUCAUUCCUUCUUAAAUGUGAGUCUGAUUUUUGUUUCUUUGAAAGCACGGCCCCUAAAUUAUUCCACUGAAUUUUUGAAGCAACUCUAUCAGAAGACCCAAGAGUCCCCACCCGGUGGAUAUCGCCCCUGAGUUUUGGUACGUGAUCAUAGAGAAGAAAAGCCUCCACUCAGGUCUGCGGCUACUGGUAAAAAUUAACGUAAGCAGGGCCUGAAGAGGAUAGUGCUUGACGGGGAUGCGCCAGGGACCUUCUAGAAUCUGCUCCUCUGGGCAACAUUUCUUUCAGUUGUGUUCUCUGCAACAUGGGUGUUUAUCAAAAUGCCAACACGUGCUACAAGAACAAUCAAUGCUAGUGGUAUUUUGUUCCUAAUAAAAUUAACAAUGUCAUUUCCCCUUCA